rnacentral:snRNA from 1 species
AUACUUAUCUGGCAGGGCAGACACCAUGAUCAUGAAGAUGGUUUUCCCAGGGUGAGGCUCAUCCAUUGCACUCCAGAUGUGCUGACCCCUGCGAUUUCCCCAAAUGUGGGAAACUCGGCUGCAUAGUUUGUGGUAGUGAGGGACUGCAUUCGCGCUUUCCCCCA